GUAUAAACAACUCGAUUAAAUAAAAUAAAAUAUCAUAAAAAUCUUUAACCAUGUCAUUAAUGCUUCUGUUAAGAAAUAAUAAAUUCCAGUCAACUUCUGCUAAAUAAUAAUUUAAAGCAACAUAAUCCCCAUUUUUAAAGUCAAAAAAGUAUUCUUCAUAAUUAAGAACAGAUUCAUUUAAAUCAACAAUUACGUCAAAAUUGACAGGUGUAUGAUGAAAUCCCUCCUCAAACAACGGAUCCAGAGGUACAGAAACAAAUAUAUCAGGAAUGCUAGAAAAAA
rnacentral:lncRNA from 1 species